rnacentral:rRNA from 1 species
UACGUAGGUGGCAAGCGUUGUCCGGAUUUACUGGGCGUAAAGAGCGCGCAGGCGGUCGUGCAAGUCGCGUGUGAAAGCCCCCGGCUCAACUGGGGAGGGUCACGCGAUACUGAUCGACUCGAAGGCAGGAGAGGGAAGUGGAAUUCCCGGUGUAGUGGUGAAAUGCGUAGAUAUCGGGAGGAACACCAGUGGCGAAGGCGACUUCCUGGCCUGUUCUUGACGCUGAGGCGCGAAAGCUAGGGGAGCAAACGGG